AAUUAAUAUUAAUACAAUUGAAGGGUCGGCCGUAACAACGUUGUAUAUAACAUUUUGCUGAAAUGUGAUGUUUCCCUAAAACAACGUUUUAUAAGCAUAUUUGAAUGUAUUGGCGCAACUGGAACCGAAAAAUUUUGCCCGAUGUCUGGCAAUAAGGCGACCUUCAGUC